AGUCGACGAUGAACCACUUCGGUGGGGAUUAGUGGCGAACGGGUGAGUAACACGUGGGCAAUCUGCCCUUCACUCUGGGACAAGCCCUGGAAACGGGGUCUAAUACCGGAUACAACCACCGGCCGCAUGGUCUGGUGGUGGAAAGCUCCGGCGGUGAAGGAUGAGCCCGCGGCCUAUCAGCUUGUUGGUGAGGUAACGGCUCACCAAGGCGACGACGGGUAGCCGGCCUGAGAGGGCGACCGGCCACACUGGGACUGAGACACGGCCCAGACUCCUACGGGAGGCAGCAGUGGGGAAUAUUGCACAAUGGGCGAAAGCCUGAUGCAGCGACGCCGCGUGAGGGAUGACGGCCUUCGGGUUGUAAACCUCUUUCAGCAGGGAAGAAGCGAAAGUGACGGUACCUGCAGAAGAAGCGCCGGCUAACUACGUGCCAGCAGCCGCGGUAAUACGUAGGGCGCGAGCGUUGUCCGGAAUUAUUGGGCGUAAAGAGCUCGUAGGCGGUCUGUCGCGUCGGAUGUGAAAGCCCGGGGCUUAACCCCGGGUCUGCAUUCGAUACGGGCAGACUAGAGUGUGGUAGGGGAGAUCGGAAUUCCUGGUGUAGCGGUGAAAUGCGCAGAUAUCAGGAGGAACACCGGUGGCGAAGGCGGAUCUCUGGGCCAUUACUGACGCUGAGGAGCGAAAGCGUGGGGAGCGAACAGGAUUAGAUACCCUGGUAGUCCACGCCGUAAACGGUGGGAACUAGGUGUUGGCGACAUUCCACGUCGUCGGUGCCGCAGCUAACG
rnacentral:rRNA from 1 species